UAAGGAAUAUUGGUCAAUGGAGGCAACUCUGAACCAGCCAUGCCGCGUGCAGGAAGAAGGCCCUAUGGGUCGUAAACUGCUUUUGAACAAGAGAAAACCCCGGUACGUGUACUGGGUUGAUAGUAUUGUUAGAAUAAGCAUCGGCUAACUUCGUGCCAGCAGCCGCGGUAAGACGAAGGAUGCAAGCGUUAUCCGGAUUCAUUGGGUUUAAAGGGUGCGUAGGCGGACUGAUAAGUCAGUGGUGAAAUCUCUCGGCUUAACCGAGAAACUGCCAUUGAUACUGUUAGUCUAGAGUACAGAUGAUGUGGGCGGAAUAUGACAUGUAGUGGUGAAAUACUUAGAUAUGUCAUAGAACACCGAUUGCGAAGGCAGCUCACAAAACUGUAACUGACGCUGAGGCACGAAAGUGCGGGGAUCAAACAGGAUUAGAUACCCCCGUAGUCCCUGAGCGGGCUGGCAAGGCGCAU
rnacentral:rRNA from 1 species